AGGACUAACGCUGGCGGCGUGCCUAACACAUGCAAGUCGAACGAGGUAGCAAUACCUAGUGGCAGACGGGUGAGUAACGCGUGGUCAACCUACCUCUUAGUGGGGGAUAACUAGCCGAAAGGUUAGCUAAUACCGCAUACGAUCGUCGCGAGGCAUCUCGUGACGAUGAAAGGAGCAAUUCGCUAAGAGAGGGGACUGCGUCCCAUUAGUUAGUUGGUGGGGUAAUGGCCUACCAAGACUCCGAUGGGUAGCUGGCUUGAGAGAGCGACCAGCCACACUGGAACUGAGACACGGUCCAGACUCCUACGGAGGCAGCAGUGAGGAAUUUUCCGCAAUGGGCGCAAGCCUGACGGAGCGACGCCGCGUGUGGGAAGAAGGCCUUCGGGUCGUAACCACUGUCGAAGGGGACGAUAUUGACGGUACCCUUGGAGGAAGCCCCGGCUAACUACGUGCCAGCAGCCGC
rnacentral:rRNA from 1 species